UUAAGUUAUUAAGGGCGCACGGUGGAUGCCUUGGCACUAGAAGCCGAUGAAGGACGUUACUAACGACGAUAUGCUUUGGGGAGCUGUAAGUAAGCUUUGAUCCAGAGAUUUCCAAAUGGGGAAACCCAGCAUGAGUUAUGUCAUGUUAUCGAUAUGUGAAUACAUAGCAUAUCAGAAGGCACACCCGGAGAACUGAAACAUCUUAGUACCCGGAGGAAGAGAAAGAAAAUUCGAUUCCCUUAGUAGCGGCGAGCGAAACGGGAAGAGCCCAAACCAACAAGCUUGCUUGUUGGGGUUGUAGGACACUCUAUACGGAGUUACAAAGGACGACAUUAGACGAAUCAUCUGGAAAGAUGAAUCAAAGAAGGUAAUAAUCCUGUAGUCGAAAAUGUUGUCUCUCUUGAGUGGAUCCUGAGUACGACGGAGCACGUGAAAUUCCGUCGGAAUCUGGGAGGACCAUCUCCUAAGGCUAAAUACUCUCUAGUGACCGAUAGUGAACCAGUACCGUGAGGGAAAGGUGAAAAGCACCCCGGAAGGGGAGUGAAAUAGAACCUGAAACCGUGUGCUUACAAGUAGUCAGAGCCCGUUAAUGGGUGAUGGCGUGCCUUUUGUAGAAUGAACCGGCGAGUUACGAUUUGAUGCAAGGUUAAGCAGUAAAUGUGGAGCCGUAGCGAAAGCGAGUCUGAAUAGGGCGUUUAGUAUUUGGUCGUAGACCCGAAACCAGGUGAUCUACCCUUGGUCAGGUUGAAGUUCAGGUAACACUGAAUGGAGGACCGAACCGACUUACGUUGAAAAGUGAGCGGAUGAACUGAGGGUAGCGGAGAAAUUCCAAUCGAACCUGGAGAUAGCUGGUUCUCUCCGAAAUAGCUUUAGGGCUAGCCUCAAGUGAUGAUUAUUGGAGGUAGAGCACUGUUUGGACGAGGGGCCCCUCUCGGGUUACCGAAUUCAGACAAACUCCGAAUGCCAAUUAAUUUAACUUGGGAGUCAGAACAUGGGUGAUAAGGUCCGUGUUCGAAAGGGAAACAGCCCAGACCACCAGCUAAGGUCCCAAAAUAUAUGUUAAGUGGAAAAGGAUGUGGCGUUGCCCAGACAACUAGGAUGUUGGCUUAGAAGCAGCCAUCAUUUAAAGAGUGCGUAAUAGCUCACUAGUCGAGUGACACUGCGCCGAAAAUGUACCGGGGCUAAACAUAUUACCGAAGCUGUGGAUUGUCCUUUGGACAAUGGUAGGAGAGCGUUCUAAGGGCGUUGAAGCAUGAUCGUAAGGACAUGUGGAGCGCUUAGAAGUGAGAAUGCCGGUGUGAGUAGCGAAAGACGGGUGAGAAUCCCGUCCACCGAUUGACUAAGGUUUCCAGAGGAAGGCUCGUCCGCUCUGGGUUAGUCGGGUCCUAAGCUGAGGCCGACAGGCGUAGGCGAUGGAUAACAGGUUGAUAUUCCUGUACCACCUAUAAUCGUUUUAAUCGAUGGGGGGACGCAGUAGGAUAGGCGAAGCGUGCGAUUGGAUUGCACGUCUAAGCAGUAAGGCUGAGUAUUAGGCAAAUCCGGUACUCGUUAAGGCUGAGCUGUGAUGGGGAGAAGACAUUGUGUCUUCGAGUCGUUGAUUUCACACUGCCGAGAAAAGCCUCUAGAUAGAAAAUAGGUGCCCGUACCGCAAACCGACACAGGUAGUCAAGAUGAGAAUUCUAAGGUGAGCGAGCGAACUCUCGUUAAGGAACUCGGCAAAAUGACCCCGUAACUUCGGGAGAAGGGGUGCUCUUUAGGGUUAACGCCCAGAAGAGCCGCAGUGAAUAGGCCCAAGCGACUGUUUAUCAAAAACACAGGUCUCUGCUAAACCGUAAGGUGAUGUAUAGGGGCUGACGCCUGCCCGGUGCUGGAAGGUUAAGAGGAGUGGUUAGCUUCUGCGAAGCUACGAAUCGAAGCCCCAGUAAACGGCGGCCGUAACUAUAACGGUCCUAAGGUAGCGAAAUUCCUUGUCGGGUAAGUUCCGACCCGCACGAAAGGCGUAACGAUUUGGGCACUGUCUCAACGAGAGACUCGGUGAAAUCAUAGUACCUGUGAAGAUGCAGGUUACCCGCGACAGGACGGAAAGACCCCGUGGAGCUUUACUGUAGCCUGAUAUUGAAAUUCGGCACAGCUUGUACAGGAUAGGUAGGAGCCUUUGAAACGUGAGCGCUAGCUUACGUGGAGGCGCUGGUGGGAUACUACCCUAGCUGUGUUGGCUUUCUAACCCGCACCACUUAUCGUGGUGGGAGACAGUGUCAGGCGGGCAGUUUGACUGGGGCGGUCGCCUCCUAAAAGGUAACGGAGGCGCUCAAAGGUUCCCUCAGAAUGGUUGGAAAUCAUUCAUAGAGUGUAAAGGCAUAAGGGAGCUUGACUGCGAGACCUACAAGUCGAGCAGGGUCGAAAGACGGACUUAGUGAUCCGGUGGUUCCGCAUGGAAGGGCCAUCGCUCAACGGAUAAAAGCUACCCCGGGGAUAACAGGCUUAUCUCCCCCAAGAGUUCACAUCGACGGGGAGGUUUGGCACCUCGAUGUCGGCUCAUCGCAUCCUGGGGCUGUAGUCGGUCCCAAGGGUUGGGCUGUUCGCCCAUUAAAGCGGUACGCGAGCUGGGUUCAGAACGUCGUGAGACAGUUCGGUCCCUAUCCGUCGUGGGCGUAGGAAAUUUGAGAGGAGCUGUCCUUAGUACGAGAGGACCGGGAUGGACAUACCUCUGGUGUACCAGUUGUCGUGCCAACGGCAUAGCUGGGUAGCUAUGUGUGGACGGGAUAAGUGCUGAAAGCAUCUAAGCAUGAAGCCCCCCUCAAGAUGAGAUUUCCCAACUUCGGUUAUAAGAUCCCUCAAAGAUGAUGAGGUUAAUAGGUUCGAGGUGGAAGCAUGGUGACAUGUGGAGCUGACGAAUACUAAUCGAUCGAAGACUUAAUCAA
rnacentral:rRNA from 3 species